rnacentral:rRNA from 1 species
UACGUAGGGUGCAAGCGUUACUCGGAAUUACUGGGCGUAAAGCGUGCGCAGGCGGCUUUGCAAGACAGAUGUGAAAUCCCCGGGCUUAACCUGGGAAUGGCAUUUGGGACUGCAAGGCUGGAGUGUGGCAGAGGAGACUGGAAUUCCCGGUGUAGCAGUGAAAUGCGUAGAUAUCGGGAGGAAUACCGAUGGCGAAGGCAGGUCUCUGGGCUGACACUGACGCUCAUGCACGAAAGCGUGGGGAGCAAACAGG